rnacentral:rRNA from 1 species
GACGAACGCUGUCGGCGUGCUUAACACAUGCAAGUCGAACGGAAAGGCCCUGCUUUUGUGGGGUGCUCGAGUGGCGAACGGGUGAGUAACACGUGAGUAACCUGCCCUUGACUUUGGGAUAACUUCAGGAAACUGGGGCUAAUACCGGAUAGGAGCUCCUGCUGCAUGGUGGGGGUUGGAAAGUUUCGGCGGUUGGGGAUGGACUCGCGGCUUAUCAGCUUGUUGGUGGGGUAGUGGCUUACCAAGGCUUUGACGGGUAGCCGGCCUGAGAGGGUGACCGGCCACAUUGGGACUGAGAUACGGCCCUGACUCCUACGGGAGGCAGCAGUGGGGAAUAUUGCACAAUGGGCGGAAGCCUGAUGCAGCAACGCCGCGUGCGGGAUGACGGCCUUCGGGUUGUAAACCGCUUUCGCCUGUGACGAAGCGUGAGUGACGGUAAUGGGUAAAGAAGCACCGGCUAACUACGUG